CUGCACUUUCUUAGAACUACCAUCGAAACUCUUCCACUCACCUGUCCUUUCCACCCUCUCCUUGACAGGGGCCCAACUGCCAUUGGGUCUGACGCUUCUCCCAGCCUCCACCUGUUCUUGCCUCACUUUACCUCACAGAUGUGUCCCCUGAUGAACUUCCCUGACGCCUGCUUCUCGGAGGACCUGUAUCGACACGUUGUCUAAUUCAGUCUCCCCAAACUUAGGAGCUAUUGAUGACUAUAAGAAAUUGAGCCUCGGGGAUUCUGAAGUACACAUUCAGGUCACCCUGCCAGUGAGUGGCAGUCUUCCAACCCAUCUCCGUCUCUUGACUCGUCUCAUUGUGCCACACUGUCUAAGACACCUUACUGUACAUGUAUGUUUCUUCUUUAUGUGCUACUUUGCCAGUUGACAAAUUCUAUGGUAGAAAAAGGAAUAGGUAAAGAUUAGCCUACAGCUCUCUGCCAAAAGGGAAAACAAAAAAACAAACAAAAAAAAGAUCUGGAAGGCAAGUUGUUAAUAUAAAACAUUCACCCUUUUUCUAGAGGAACUUACAAUUUAAGCUUCCCUGUACGUGUCACUGACAGGGAGCUGUCUGGCUACAUGAAUAUGUUGUUUUUCUUUUUUUUUUUUUUUUCUCCCUACACCCCUUUUUAGGUAAUUCAGAGCUGCAAGUGCUGAAUCUAUUUUUCAGAGAUAACAUGUGAAUUUGUGACAUUCCCUGUGGAGUUUGAGGUCUAGGAACCUAGGAAGAGAUCACAACGAAACACAAGCAUUGCUUCCAAGUGCUAGAGUGAUUAUUGUCUGGAAGUCUUAGCAUUAUUUAAAAGGCAGCUUCUUCUCAUUUGGAUCAGGCAACGGUGUGUUUUCUGAAGGCGAGAAGGCCUUUCUAUAAAAGCCAGUACAGAGUGGGGCUGCAGGCUCCUUGUGUUGUAGCAGAGGCCAGCGGCAAAAGCCACGGUAGCCGCUUCAGGGAAGCACCAGCAAGUGGAACCGAUGCCUAAUGAAUGGAGGGCCCAGUGGGGAAGUGAAGAAAACAAAGGGAGACUUUUUUUUCCCUUCAUUUCCCCCACCCCCACCCACCACUUUUUUAUUCCAGGAAAGAAAAGUACAGUUUACUGCAAUUCAUUCCCACACCUGGUGAAGGUUCAAGAGGACAGGGAGCCUGAGGACCUUCACCUGAAUGGCUUCUUGAAAGAUGCUGUGUUCAGAUCUUUGGUGCCAGAAGAACACCGACUCGUCUCCCUCUUUGCUUUGCAGGGCCUCCUUUCAUGUGAUUUAGAAAAUGUAUUCUUCUCAGAGCUACGCCACUGGUCUUGUGGGUACUCCUGCUGCCCAUCCGUUCUAUUUCUCUGGUCGGGGCCCCAAGCAAGAGCAGGCACCUCGAUCACUGAAUCAUUUCCUCAGAUGAGUCUACCGCAGAAUCUUAGCUCUUGGAUGGAGGCCCCCACUGUUGGUCUUCUGCCUCAACAUUCCUUUUAACUGAAUGGUGUCCCGCUUGCCUCUCUAGUUCGUCUCUCGUGGCUUCUUCACACCAAAACAAAAGUGCUUUCCAUUCUAGAAGCUUCCAUUUUCCCUAUGCCACAUGCCUUUGCCCACGCUGUUUCUUCCACCAGUAGCGUCCUGUGCCCCUUGCUAACUCCCUUGCUGUCUGCCCAUUUGGUGCGUGUUUAAUUCCAGGAAGACGGCGUUCAAGUGAAACCUCCGCGAAGCCUUCCGUGACAUCUCCAAACUCGAUUAAUUACUUCAUUCUCUGCGUGUGUCAGUAAUUUUGUUUAGCGGAAAUUAAUUUUGCCUCUCUGUGAAGAUACAGAUUCACAUUCAGUAGAUUUUCUGAGUGAGUACUAAGUGCCUGGCACUGGAAUGAUCACUUUCACAUAUAGCACUUUUUGAAUUUCUUUUUGGUGAAGAGACCAGAGAACAUGAGCCUUUUGGAUUGAGACUCACUAGUAUGGCUUUCUGAAAUUACUCUUGACUCUUCAGAAGGAGGAAUCGGUAUACAUAUGAGGGGCAUUUUUAGUCACUUUUAGUUUGAUGAAAAAACAACACAACAAAAUCUUCAUUGUUCGAGGUCUCUGACUUCCCCAGAAGUUUUGGGGAAAAUCGUGAACCCCGCUUCCAGUGACCCUCUGCCACACGAGGACACAUAUUAAUGAUCUCUGUAGGUCUCUUUGGAAGGUGCAUUAUGUUAUCACACUUGCCGUGAGCUCUGGGGGCCUCCAGACUCCCUGAGUGGCAGCAGGCAUAGGCCCUGCCCCGUUCCACUCUGCAUGGCCACUUGAGCCAUGAGCAACCCAAUCUCAGUCACUCCUUCUUGUAAGGUUGUAAGUAACAGCUAGCAUAUCUGCAGAAUGCAACAAGUACCACUGUUUAAUGUGUAUAGGAUUUUUGACAUACUAAUUACAUCCUGCUCCAAGCCGUGAGGCAUAGGUGAUCAGCUCCAUGAAAUAAUCAACAGUUGGAAAAAAUAACUUUUAUUUUUCACUGAGAUGACUGUGAAAAAAAAAAUUUUUGCUGUUGAUAACUCUGCUUUUAGUUGAAAACACAGAGCACAGGCUGGUAAACUAUAGCCUAUGAGUGAGCCCGUUCUGUUGUUUCUUUUCACACGUAAAGGUUUAUUGGAACACAGCCAGGCCAUGUGCUUACAUAUUGCCCGUGACUGCUUUCACAUUAUAAACACAGAGUUGAGUGGUUGCAGAGAGGCUGGAUAACCCACAGAGACUAAACUACUCACUGCUUCGUCCUUUGCAGAAAAAGUGUGCCGAUCCCUGACACGGCAAUGCAGAGUUCUUCCAGAAACCAUCAAGGCAAACUCUCCAACAGCAAGUCCUUACCAAAAGCCUGAUUGCAAGAAUAUUUUUCUCUCAGAUCUUAGUAUCAAGAAAGUUGGGCUUGCUCUUGAGCCACUGCAGUGUGCCGUAGUCCUCGACGUUCCCACUUGAUCAGAUUGUGAAAUAAGACUCAGACACCACUCCUUGCUUGGAGGGAAUGUACGGGGCUCUGACCACUGAUGCCUGCAGGAGUCUGGUAGGAAACUACAUACACUACCUGCAGGGUUAUUUUGUCCUUAAAGAUUUGGGUAAAAUACUAGCAUAUUUUGGCAUAUAGCGGCAGCACCGAACAAAGGACUGGAUUUGGAAAUGGAAGUCACAGAUUCCACUCUCAGUACUGCAUGUAAAUAACCAUGUGAUUUUAGGCAAAUCACUCCUUGUAUGAUGAUUAGAGAUUAUAAACCUAAACUACCAAGAGUGAGAAUAUUUGUGGGAGUUCUUUGUUUCUAGAUAAAAGUGCAGUAUUAUCACUAGAGUUAUAUAUGUGAUGAUAGUGGCAUAGAGCACACAUGAAAUCAUAAACACUUCUCUACUAGGGAAUUAAACAGUGUUAGUAGCUUCAAUAACAGAAAGAUGCACCUUCAAUUGUAUUCCUUUUGAUUUAGGCCUCAUAGAAAUAGAUAAGUUGAGGUGUUUAAUGUCUUUUUUCUUUAUUUGUUUUUUGUUCUACCCUGAGAAGCAAUUUUGCUCACAGCAAAGAGAAUAAAAAUGAAGGACUUGAGGAGAGAACAAGAAGUUUGGAAUAAGUAAUAUAAGGAAUGUACAGUGGAGAUGCUUGGUGUACAUGUAUGAAAUGUUAAGGAGACUGAAAACCCCAGUUGUGUGUAACGUACAUGGAUUAAUUAGCAUAUUUCAUUUUUUUCAUUAUUAUUACUAUUUUUUUUGACAAUAUCCAGUACUCUGGACACAGGAGCAGAGACACAAGCAAUAUGUAUCCAUACAAGACCGAUUAUUAUCCAGAGGAAUUCAGGAAAAGAAAAACAAGGUAGACACGAGGCUUGUUUCACCUGGAGGCCGAACACGGGACAGUUAUGGUGUGGGAGAGAUCACACGGCAGAGACAAGAGCACAGGUGUCUGUUUGCUACAAGCACAUCUUGCAUUCUGCAUCGAAAGCAUCACUUCUGUCACGAUUGCCACACCGCUGUUUACAGAAGCAUCCCCGACUUGGCGAAUUUAAUGACACGUCCUCCUGUAUGGGUCACCGGAUAUCUGGUCCUAAGUUUCUACAGUUCUUCUUGUUUAAGAGGCAAUAUCUGCGGUGGAAGGAGGGCACAAACUUAACUCCUCUGAGCUCUGGCACUGCUCCUGUGAUUAACAUUGCACCUUCAUGAUACAGAAAGAAAAUCCUGAAAUAUAUCUUUCAAUUUGAUAAUCAGUAGAGGGGCUAUUGUAGUUUGAAAUAUUCAUAAACUUUUCCUCCUGAAAAUUAGUCCUAUGCUUAGUCCCAUUUAGACAAAUAGGCAUCCUACAGUCAAAGGGUAGGAGAACAGAAAACAAAAAGGCAAGAAAUAUGUGUUAAGUGAUAAGUUUUUGGUUUGAGGAGAACAGGAAAACUCCCUUGGGAUUCCAGCAGGUAAGCUAGUUAGAGGGGAACUUCAGAAAGCUCAGAGGCUAGGGUCAUUUCCUAUCCAUGCUAUGUCCCUGGCAAGUUCACUAAGGGAAACAGGAGGUGUUGGAAAUCCCAGAAUAGGUUUGGAGAAUCUGAGAUCAGAUGAGACCUUAGCUCCUAUGUCUGGAGAACAAAGAGAUUUCAUGGCCCCAGAAUCCUUCACGCACAGCACAAUGUAAAAGCAGAAGGGAGAUCUGUCUGCACGUCUAGACAAGCAUGUCAGGACAGAAGCACAACCAGUUGAUGACAAGGACAAAGCCUCUCCUCCCCUGUCCCCCCACCAUACU